AAUUCUUAUGUCCACUUUCUUUUCACAUUACAUCAGUUCCAGACUAGCUUUUUACUUCGCCACAACCACACAACAUGCUGUUAGUUACUAAGCAUACAGUCAGUUGCUAAGGACAUCAGUGUCUAAAUAAUUUAGAUGUAUUUUCCUAUUUCCUUAGAAACGACCAGAACAGCGGUCAGCUUAAAAUGUGUCUAUAAUAGAAGCCAAUGGGCAGGUGCUGAAUACUGUAGAAUUGGCUUGGAAAAUGCAUUGCAUUAACCCGGAUUUUAGUUGUGAAAUGCAGGAAUGUGUUCCAAUUUUCCAGGUUUAGCAGGAUAGAUCGUUUAUGAGCAAAAAUAAAAAGUAGAAGAGACCUCCGUUUUAAAUAGUACGAUGUGUGUCACUUUCUGCCAAUGUGCAAGUAUGUAUCAGUGAUUUGUAGCAGUGUGUUUUGUGUAGCUAGUGCAGCAUAUGAUCUGCGUGUCUCCCAUAUGGUGUGCAUGCUGGAGGGGCGAGUAUGUGUAUGUGUAUAUAACAGAUGGUAGAGAGGAGACGGGACUUGCGUUGGUCACAGCAGAAGCUUUGUCAGUAAUUUUCUGUCUAUGCUUGCAUAGACUGUGGCUGGCCAUUGUGCAAUCCUGGCCCUUCAUUGGCUCGUCUGACUCUGCGAGAACAGCUUUAACUUCCGCGGCAGCCGCUGUCACUAUGGGUUUAACAGGCUGGGAAAACAGCAGCUAUGAAAGGGAGGAGGGACUUUCUUGCUCCCCCUGCUGGACAAAUGUUGAACAGUGAUUCAGCAAAGUGAUCAUACAAAACAAAACCCAGACUAUAACCAGUGACUGCUUAACAAAAAAAGAAAAAUAAUAAUUCUAAACAUGAUUUAGGAAAUCAUCUUUGAUACAUCUUUGAUACAUCAUUGAAUUGUGAAAUUAAAUGUAAAAGUGUCUUAAACUACAUUAACUAUGUACAAGGUGAUUCAUUAUAGAGAGGAAAAGCAGUGCAUUUUUGUGUUUUAUUGUUACAAUUAAAAUAUAUAAUAAAAAUACAUAAAAAUACCAUGUUUUUAAUCUACAGAAUUGAUGCUGUCACAUCACCACCAUCAGCGUUUAUUCUCACAGUAGUAACAAAUAAGAAAGCAUUAAAUAAGAAAGUAACAAUUAAGUAAAGGAGCCAAAGGUUUCUGACUGUAAUGAAAAAUGUUAGUUUGACUUGUUCAGUGUUUAUUGUUUACCCAAAUCAUUAACUGGGUAAGGUUUGGCUUCUGCUGUGUUAACAUGUUGGCAUUGCAAAAAAUGGCAUUACAAAAAAAAAAAAAAAAAAAAAAGCUUUGUUUCGGAAAGUGAGACGGUGGCAAUUAUGCAAGUGUAUUGGUGUUUGCCACAGUUUCACAGGGGUGAUAGCAUUCCGCCGCCGCUCCGGAAAUCCGGCAUAGCCUGGUUCUGUAAAAAAAAUAAAUAAAUAAAAGCAUAAAGAAUAUAUGGCGUUGGGCAUGGAUCAAAGAUGUGGGGCUUGAUGGUAAUCCCUUUUCGAGCUGGUGUCAAAAGCUUCGGCAACAUGGUGCUUAUUACUGUAUGUUAAACGGUAAAAAAAAAUUCUCUCUUGGCACGAACAAGACCCUGUACAUAAAGCAGCAGCCAGAGCAGUGCAAUAUACCACCCUUUUGCCAGGAGCAUCAGCUACGGCGGACAUUCCACCUUCGAUGGCAGAUCGAGUAUUUAACUUAAAAAUUCAGCUGUGCACCUUCAUUGCAGGACAGUAGAUGAGCUCGGCGCGACAGUAGAUGAGCUGGGCGCGGCAGUAGAUGAGCUCGGCGCGGCAGUAGAUGAGCUCGGCGCGGCAGUAGAUGAGCUCGGCGCGACAGUUAAAAAGAUCGGCGCGACAGUUAAAAAGAUCGGCGCGACAGUUAAAAAGAUCGGCGCGACAGUAGGUGAGCUCCGCGGUACUGUUAAAAAGCUUGCCGCGACAGUAGGUGAGCUCCGCGGUACAGUUAAAAAGCUCAGCGCGACAGUAGGUGAGCUCCGCGGUACAGUUAAAAAGCUCAGCGCGACAGCAGGUGAGCUCCGCGGUACAGUUAAAAAGCUCAGCGCGACAGCAGGUGAGCUCCGUGGUACAGUUAAAAAGCUCAGCGCGACAGCAGGUGAGCUCCGCGGUACAGUUAAAAAGCUCCGCGGUACAGUUAAAAAGCUCAGCGCGACAGUAGGUGAGCUCCGCGGUACAGUUAAAAAGCUCAGCGCGACAGCAGGUGAGCUCCGCGGUACAGUUAAAAAGCUCAGCGCGACAGCAGGUGAGCUCCGUGGUACAGUUAAAAAGCU